rnacentral:rRNA from 1 species
UACGUAGGUGGCAAGCGUUGUCCGGAUUUACUGGGCGUAAAGGGCGUGCAGGCGGUCUGUUAAGUCUAGGGUGAAAGCUCCCGGCUCAACUGGGAGAGGUCCUUGGAUACUGGCGGACUCGAGGGAGGCAGAGGAGAAUAGAAUUCCCGGUGUAGUGGUGAUAUGCGUAGAUAUCGGGAGGAAUACCAGUGGCGAAGGCGGUUCUCUGGGCCUUACCUGACGCUGAGACGCGAAAGCGUGGGGAGCGAACCGG